rnacentral:rRNA from 1 species
GACAGAGGUCCCAAGCGUUAGGCGGAAUCACUGGGCUUAAAGCGCGUGUAGGCGGUCCGGUAAGUCCGCUGUGAAAGUCGGGGGCUCAACCCUCGGAUGCCGGUGGAUACUGUCGGGCUUGAGUACGGAAGAGGCGAGUGGAAUUCCUGGUGUAGCGGUGAAAUGCGCAGAUAUCAGGAGGAACACCAAUUGCGAAGGCAGCUCGCUGGGACGUUACUGACGCUGAGACGCGAAAGCGUGGGGAGCAAACAGG